rnacentral:rRNA from 1 species
GAUGAACGCUGGCGGCGUGCCUAAUACAUGCAAGUCGAGCGAACAGACGAGGAGCUUGCUCCUCUGACGUUAGCGGCGGACUUGUGAGUAACACGUGGAUAACCUACCUAUAAGACUGGGAUAACUUCGGGAAACCGGAGCUAAUACCUGAUAAUAUAUUGAACCGCAUGGUUCAAUAUUGAAAGACGGUUUUGCUGUCACUUAUAGCUGGAUCCGCGCCGCAUUAGCUAGUUGGUAAGGUAACGGCUUACCAAGUCAACGAUGCGUAGCCGACCUGAGAGGGUGAUCGGCCACACUGGAACUGAGACACGGUCCAGACUCCUACGGGAGGCAGCAGUAGGGAAUCUUCCGAAAUGGGCGAAAGCCUGAAGGAGCAACGCCGCGUGAGUGAUGAAGGUCUUCGGAUCGUAAAACUCUGUUAAUAGGGGAGAACAAAUGUGUAAGUAACUAUGCACGUCUUGACGGUACCUAAGCAGAAAGCCACGGCUAAAUACGUG